ensembl:lncRNA
AGAUGGUAGCUCGUCCUUUUGGCUCCUUAGCCAAGCAUGUCAUCAACUGUCUGAAUUGUGGUUGCUUCCAUAGUGAUCCAAGAAACUGAGAGCAACAUUUCACUGCCUGCCCUUCAGCUUCCAAGAUCCUGUCUCUCUCACUCUAUCCGGUAGGACCCCUUCCUUGUGCUGAAAGAAUCCCUUUGCUCCGAACCAGAUGUUUUCCCCCAGGGCUCUGCUUUAAGUCGGGCUUCUGAGCUAAUAGUGUAUAUGCUUAGAGACCCUGAAGGCCAGUACAUGGAUUAGACCUGCCUGAGAGUGAAUCCAACACAGAAGAUAGUAGAAGCAGUGGAGGAAGAGGUCCAGGUCCUGCCCAUGCCAGAAUCCAGUUAAAUUCCCCUGGGUUCUACAGUGAUAAACCGAUGAGUAAUAGUCUUCACCCUUCACUCCGAGUCCUGACUUAUAAACGACUUAAUCAAGAAGUGUUGAUUACCCGCCCAUGCUAGGUUUAAAGAUGC